UGCGGGGCCAUGCUGUUACUAGGAAGCUUAAUUCUAAUGAUGAGCCGCCUCAAUUUGAACAAGCCUGAAAGAAAAGUGCUAGAAAGCAUUUGCCUGAUUGGAUCGAGCAUUUUGAUGGCCAUGAUGGACGUUGCUUUGAUUGGCAUAGGUUUUACUGUUGUUACUAGUUUUAAAGAAGCAGCAUACCAUGCUUGGCUUUGGCUACUAUAACUUGAUCAAGAGAUUGGAAUGGACAAAACAACACCUGUGGAGCUAGCCAACCACUUCCGUGGGUCCAUUGGGUCAAAAAAUCCUCCUGUGCUAUUCCAAAGGACAGCACUGAAAAUGGGUUUAAAGGAUAGAUGGCCAGUUGUUUGCUGUGAGAUAGAUGAUAACCACUUUUCAAAUGGCUAUGGUCAUGCUUUUGGUAAAGUACUUAUGCCCUGUCCUGUAUAGUGUUAUUUUGGCCGGUGAACUUGUAUGUUGAGUGUAUAAUAGUUGGCAGAUCUAAGCUCUAGAAUCUCUUCUUGGUUAUUUAUUGUGGUGUAUAUUUACUUCUUCGCAAAAUGAGGAUAUGUGUUAGAGAGAUGCAUUCUAGGAAGCCUCAACUUUACCGAACUCGCAUAUAUGACGAGCUUUGGGAAUCAAAGCCAGAAUCCCAUUCUAGCUAUACCAUUGAUAGAAUAUUUGUUGGAUGAAGCGAAAGAUCUGAACAUCAAUAGAAUCCCUGUACAACCUGUGCAUCCAGAUGUCAAAGUCAUGGUUUUCAUCUGCCUCAAUCUUCUUUUGCUAAUUGUAUGCUUAUGUAAAUUUUGCUCAUGGAACCUGAUUGGAGUAACUUCAGUUUCUU